rnacentral:tRNA from 1 species
GGGGCUGUAGUUUAACGGUAAAACAAUUCGCUGACAUUGAAAUAUCGCAGGUUCGACUCCCGCCAGCUCCACCA